rnacentral:lncRNA from 1 species
UUUAACUACCCCUAAGCUAAUCAUUACAACUCUAAACUAGGACGUCAGGGAACUAGAGACCCACCGGUGACACCAAGCCGAAAGUAUUUGGCCCAUAUCCAAGUUUUCACACCACUAUGCUUCCACCAAGUCGUAGUCUCUACAUAAUUUGAUCCACAAAAACCGGAGGCAUUUAGCCUAGUCCACAAUAAUAGAAAGUGUUACAUAAGAAAAGGGUUUGAUUCCUCUAAAUUCUCUAGUACCUUUGUUUCUUAGUUCACUAGCAAGACAAUAGAGAGACCAAACUUUUUCGUUCUCUAACCUUUCUCAAAAUCUCACUUGAGCUUGGUGUAAAAUCCACUUUUUUCUUCAAAACUCACUCACCAACACAAGAAAAAAAACUACAGUGGAUGACAGAUAGAAGGGAAAGGCUAUUAGAAGCUUCUAAAAAGAGGGAGGGAGUGUUUGCUUUCUAUUCAAAGGAAAUGAGGAAAAUUGUGGCCAUUCAUUUGAAAGAGGGUGAUGUUUUCUACUUCAUUUUUGGACACUCAUUUAAUUUAAGGUAAGGUGAGGUGGCUUCAUGAGAACAACAUAUACUUCACUAGUAAAAUAUCUUACUAUUGGAAUUAAAAUAUCUACCCUAAUUUAGCUCAGUUUACAAGUAAAUCUUAUCACAAUAUACAGCUCAUAAAAUAUUUAUCGAUAAUUAUAAUUAUGACAAAAAUAAUUUAAUUAUUAAAAUAAUCACAUUUAAUAGUCUUU